rnacentral:tRNA from 1 species
GGGCCGUUAGCUCAGUUGGUAGAGCACUGCAUUCGCAUUGCAGGGGUCACCGGUUCGACUCCGGUACGGUCCACCA